rnacentral:tRNA from 1 species
GGAAUAGCUCAGUGGUGGAGUGUGCGCUUAGCAUGCAUGAGGUCCUGGGUUCAAUCCCCAGUGCCUCCA